rnacentral:rRNA from 1 species
GUGGGGAAUUUUGGACAAUGGGCGCAAGCCUGAUCCAGCCAUGCCGCGUGCAGGAUGAAGGCCUUCGGGUUGUAAACUGCUUUUGUACGGAACGAAAAGACUCUGGUUAAUACCUGGGGUCCAUGACGGUACCGUAAGAAUAAGCACCGGCUAACUACGUGCCAGCAGCCGCGGUAAUACGUAGGGUGCGAGCGUUAAUCGGAAUUACUGGGCGUAAAGCGUGCGCAGGCGGUUAUGUAAGACAGAUGUGAAAUCCCCGGGCUCAACCUGGGAACUGCAUUUGUGACUGCAUAGCUAGAGUACGGUAGAGGGGGAUGGAAUUCCGCGUGUAGCAGUGAAAUGCGUAGAUAUGCGGAGGAACACCGAUGGCGAAGGCAAUCCCCUGGACCUGUACUGACGCUCAUGCACGAAAGCGUGGGGAGCAAACAGGAUUAGAAACCCUGGUAGUCC